rnacentral:lncRNA from 1 species
CAGGAAGCUGGUGACGGCGAUGAACGGGCUCUGAAUAUGGAGAUAGAACACUGGAGUCGAAGUCCCAGCCCCCUCUGUCGCUCUCUCUGAAGCUCAGUGACUACUCCAGUAUUAAAUGAUGCAUGUAUAAAGUUAGUCACUCUAUCAUUAUCUGUAAUAGCAGAUGAUUGGAAAUGACCUAAAUGUCUCAUAAUAAGGAACUAGUUUUAAAAAGCAUGUUCCAUUCAUGCCUUGAAAUACUAUACAUUGAAAAAAUAAAAAUUGUAUAAAUAUGUGAAAAAAACAGUGUGUAUAUUAUACUACGACUUACUUCUUUGUGCAUAGAUGUUCUACAAGGCUAUAUAAAAGAUUGUUAAUUAUGGUUGUCUCUUGGGAGGGGGAGUUUAGAUUGUAUAAUGGGGUAGAAGGCUGACUUUUCGUUGUUUACUAUUCUGCACCUUCUGGAUUUUGUACUAUGUAUAUAUUUUAUAUAUUAAAAUAGCUUUAUAUAAAUAAAACUAGCCCCAUGGCUGAAUAAAUUUUAUUACAAUUUUCUUAUGAUUCCCUGAUACUCUGUUCCUUAACU